UAUGUUGGUUCGGACAAUCGCGGGGCAUUUCGGUGCUUUGAGGAAAGUCCAUGCUCGCACAGCCUGCGAUGGCUGUAGUGAUCGUGCUACACAAAAAGAUAAGUGUAGGCAGCGUCAAGCUGACGGCAGAAGGAACGCCUAAGUCUUCGGAUAUGGCCGAAACUUCUUGAAGGUGCCACAGUGACGGAGCUUCAUGGGAAACCAUGAAGGUGGAACGAGGUAAACCCCACGAGCGAGAAACCCAAAUUUGGUAGGGGAAUUUCCGGAGCGGAAUUGAACGCGAAGGAGAGCGUAUGCAAAUACGGAGAUAGAUGAUUGUCGCCUGCGUGUGAGGGUCAAACCGUUUGGAACACUAAGGAACAGAACAUGGCUUACAGGACCACAUAGGCU
rnacentral:RNase_P_RNA from 2 species